CCCAGACUCCUACGGGAGGCAGCAGUGGGGGAUAUUGCACAAUGGGGGGAACCCUGAUGCAGCGACGCCGCGUGGGUGAAGGAGCGUUUCGGCGCGUAAAGCCCUAUCGGCAGGGAAGAAGGAGGACGGUACCUGACUAAGAAGCCCCGGCUAACUACGUGCCAGCAGCCGCGGUAAUACGUAGGGGGCAAGCGUUAUCCGGAUUUACUGGGUGUAAAGGGGGCGCAGACGGCAGCGCAAGCCAGGAGUGAAAGCCCGGGGCCCAACCCCGGGACUGCUCUUGGAACUGCGCGGCUGGAGUGCAGGAGGGGCAGGCGGAAUUCCUGGUGUAGCGGUGAAAUGCGUAGAUAUACGGAGGAACACCAGUGGCGAAGGCGGAUUGCUGGACAGUAACUGACGCUGAGGCGCGAAAGCGUGGGGAGCAAACAGGAUUAGAUACCCUAGUA
rnacentral:rRNA from 1 species